GUGAAUCAUCAAAUUUUUGAACGCAAAUUGCACUCUCCGGUUUUCCGGGAGAGUAUGCCUGUUUGAGGGUCAGCCUAAAAAAAAAUCGAAAUUGUUGCUGUUAUUUAAUGGUGACUUUCGUCGGAGUUUGGGUAAUCUUAAACUUUUUUUUUUUUUUGGUUUAAGUGAUUUAAAAUUUUUCUUCACGAUUCAAUGAAGGUUUCUAAGAUUUUUAUUUCUUAUACGUUUAGGUUUUAUUGAUUUUUUAUUAGAGGUGAUGGUCGCAUCGG
rnacentral:misc_RNA from 1 species